CUCACAGAUCAUCUGUGAUCAUGAAACGGCAGCUUUAAAUUACUCUGAACGCUCCUCGGAGACUCUGCGCAAUUUCCAAGUAAACAAAACCCGCAGAACAUCUUUUAUCUUAUUACGAGCGGCAAACGAACAAAUCUCUCUCUGCGGAGAGUCGUACCAGCGAGGUCGGUCGUCGUAAAUCGUUGGAUCAAAAGGAUUCGAGAGAAAACAGAAAUAAUCUGAUUAAAGCGUUUGUUGAUCAGGGAUUAAGUUCAUGCCAGAAUCAAAAGUGCGUACACCAAAAAAAACAAAAAAACAAUCCAGAUGUGUUAAAAGAACUAAAAGUGAGAGGAAAAAUGUGUAUUCCUGUUUAUUGGAUGUGGCGGACUGUCCCUUUAAGUUGUUUUUCCUGCAGUUUCAGAUCGUCUCUGGCACUCGUCACCUCUGGCUCCCCCCCCCCCAGCCGACACGUGAUUGGCUCAUUUCAGAGAGGUCAGAGGUCGCUGAUGACCUCACGUCCCCCGAGGGUGAAGAACUAUGCUGUUCUGUAAUGAGGUCACCAGCCGGAUCAUCCCGAGAGGAAACAACAGAUCGUCCUUCUGGCCCGACCCGCUCCGAACGCCUCCACGAAUGUUCCUGGAAAGAAUUCAGCGUGUCACCGUGCUGCAGUUCGUCAGUGUCAGCACUUCCAUCACAUCUGCUCCUCUGGACCGCUUCCCUCGAUUGUCAUCCCAUUUUUUUUUAUUUGUUAACAAAUAAAUAAAGCUUUUAUGAGACUUU